GUUGUGAUUGGUGGGUAUUUGUUGUGAUUGAUUGGUGGGUAUUUGUUGUGAUUGCUUGGUGGGUAUUUGUUGUGAUUGGUGGGUAUUUGUUGUGAUUGGUGGGUAUUUGUUGUGAUUGAUUGGUGGGUAUUUGUUGUGAUUGCUUGGUGGGUAUUUGUUGUGAUUGGUGGGUAUUUGUUUGAUUGGUGGGUAUUGUGAUUGGUGGGUAUUUGUUUGAUUGGUGUGUAUUGUGAUUGGUGGGUAUUUGUUAUGAUUGAUUGGUGGGUAUUUGUUGUGAUUGGUGGGUAUUUGUUGUGAUUGGUGGGUAUUUGUUGUGAUUGAUUGGUGGGUAUUUGUUGUGAUUGGUGGGUAUUUGUUGUGAUUGAUUGGUGGGUAUUUGUUGUGAUUGGUGGGUUUCAUGUGCUGGUCUGUGUACUUGUUCCUUCAGUGUUGAUUUUGGGUUCUAACCUUACAACCUUUUUCUCUUUCAUUUUUAGUUUCUUUUUGCACAGUAUAUGCCUGAAUGGCUCUGGGUGUGGGGAGCAAAUAUUCUCAACCGUUCACUACGUAAGGAAGCCUUAUCCUGCACAGCCUGAGUCUGGAUGGCCACUUGAGAAGUUUUGCCAACUCCUGGGAACCUCGAUAUUCUGACAUUUGGAAAAACACAUUUAAUUUAUCUCCUGUGUUUCAUUGCUGAUUAUUCAGCAUACUGUUGAUUCGUCAUUUGCAAAACACACAUAAUACCGUCAGAGUGCUGUGAAAAACCUUAAGGGUGUGUGGAUGGCACAGGAUCAAUAAUGCCUGAGGCUGAUUGACGACAUCUACAUUUCAGUGCUUUUUCCCUAAGCUGUUUGAAAGUUACGCUUUUCUGUUGUUCUAGAGCCACAGCAGUCUAAUAUUGAAAUAUAAUAUGAUUUGUCAGGUCUUAUAAUUUCAGAUGUUGUUUUUUAAGGGAAAUUGACCAUUUCACUAGAGGAGUUGUGCUGGUUUUUAAAUGUGCAUCAAGAAAGACUACUGAAAAGUAUUAUUUUGUAACUAAGAUUGCUGGUACUAUUAGGAAAAAUCUGUGUGUAUUGUAUAGCUCUAGCUGUUUGACUAUCUGUAAUGAAAAUGCUGCACUUCAACUGGUAUUUCAUUAGAGAACCGUGUGUGUGCGUGUGUGUGGUGCCUUUGAGCAACUUUAUUUAUGGUUACCAUAUUUUUAAAAAGAUUUUUUGUCAGGGUGACUUAACAUGGACUCUUAUAGGGUAUUAAAACAAUCUAGAUUAUUCCUUUUCAUCCUAAAUAAGCCUACCAAAUUUCAUGCUGUUGGUUUGCCAUGAAUGAUAUUACUUCCUACAUUAUAUUUGUGUUUUUUCAAAUCUGCUAUGGAAUGAACUUAUUCCUAGAUUUGGAUAUGUAAGAGAAACCUGCAGUCAUCUUUUGAUUUAUAAGGCAAUUCUUGUGGAUAAAUAGUGAUUUCUCAGCCUCUGACCCAUUUUAUAACUGAAAUUUAGCCCUUUAGAGCUUGUUAUAUCUGGUUUUCCUACGUUUUUCUAUGUAAUAUUAUUCCAUUCCAGUAGCAUUAUUGAUAGAAAUAGUAAGUAUUUAUGGAAUAGUAAAAUAUGGACAAAUUACGUGUGUGACAUAUCUGUCAAUAUAAGUUAGAAGCUUAUUCUUGGUUUGUGUAAUGAAUUUAUGUAUUGUAGUGAAUACCUUUACUGGUGUGAAGAUAAUUAUGCACAAACCCUCACAAUACGCGUUAACAUUGAAACCUGUGAAAUGUCCUUAGUUUGGGUCAUAUAAAGCCAACCAUUUUUGAGGACCAUGUACCUAGUGCUUUGAAAACUCUAAGUCACUAUAUGAAUAUGACAAUAUGUGCACAUUUAAAAUUCAGAGCUCGGCAUUGUGAUACUGAUGCAGAAGCUAGUAGAUUGGUUAAAAGUCUGGACUUCUGUGGCAUUUUUUUCGUGACGUGAUAAUCUAUCAUAAGCAGACCUAAGCACAGUUUUAUGAACACAAUUUUGCCCAUGACAUUGCCUACAGGAUUUCCAGAUGUGACUUGCACUCAGAAGAUCAGUGGUCAACUUCAGAAGCUCUUCCACGCUUAGAUCAUGUCUUCAGAACUUAGAUGUGAAAAUCUACACACUGGGAGAUGCUGUGAGCCCCAAGGUUUUGAUGGAGUUUGCUUGGAAUCCUCUUGACUUCAUGCCACAUUGACGUGAACUUUGAUGUAUAAUAAGCAGCAGCAACUUCAUGUGAAAAUAUGGUCAGGUAGUUAUAUGUAAGGUUACGUGGUCCAGUAAUGUCUUAGAUUGAUAAAUUAGGUAUGGAAUCCAUCAGUGUUACGUGAUGAGAAUAGGUGAACACACCUUGUCAGUGAUGAUGUAAACUUCUCUCCUUGGCAGGACAUGGGCAAACAUGCUGAUUGGUGCAAAUGUGGUGCCGAGCUGUCCAUAGCUGCAGUGAAAGAUGAAGAGCAAGACCUUCUCUAGGUUUUCUAGCUUUCAUUAAAUGUAUUUUUUUCCCCAGAGCUAAUUUGAAAGUUGAUUGGACCACUGUGGAUGGGGUGUCAUUAAGAAUGUGGGAAAUAGGGGCCGAGUGCGGUGGCUCACACCUGUAAUCCCAGCAGUUUGGAAGGCCAGGGCAGGUGGAUCGCUUGAUCCCAGGAGGUCGAGACCAGCCUGGGGAACACAUCCUGUCUCUACAAAAAAUACAAAAAUUAGCCAGGCAGGGUGGUGCAUGCCUGUAGUCCCAGCUACUUGGGAGGCUGAGGCAGGAGAAUUUUUUGAGCCCAGGAUGCAGAGGUUGAAGUGAGCCAAGAUCGUGCCACUGCACUCCAGCCUUGAGACAGAGCGAGACCCUGUCUCAAAAAAAAAAAAAGAACGUGGGAAAUAUGAACCUUUGAAAGUUAAUCUGUGAAUUGAAAGUUUAACAAUAAAAGUAGUUGUUUGUUUCCUUUGGAAGAGUUUUGUUCCAGAUGUUUGUAAUUUGGUUGUUUGUAAUUUGGAAUGAGAGAAUUUUUUUUUCUUAGGAGUGAUUGCAAGAAAUUAACAUGAACAACAGUGGUCAUAACUGAUUAAAAGCUGACACGUCAGUAA
rnacentral:lncRNA from 10 species